rnacentral:RNase_P_RNA from 1 species
GCCCUCGCCAAUGCUGCGUUUCUUUGCUCACAAACAGACACCGGGUCCCGCUUGGCUGUCGCUGCAUGCAAAUGAGAAAUUCGGAGUAAUCUUCAACCUCACCCGCCAUCGCUGGGCUUGUCCCGGCGCUCUGGCCGCUGCCCGUGAGGGCCUGGCGUGAACACGCCUGCUCCUGGCAUCAGAAAACUCAGGGCCAGCCGGCAGCACCGCCUCCGGGUGGCGUUGCGCAGGUCUGUACCCCUAUGGGAGUCAGGGCGAAGAUUGUGUGCAUGCGCAAGCAUGUGACACUUCAGUGCAAUACGCGGCGUACCGUAUUCCGGUAUCAUUCGAUUCCGAUUACUCUGGCGAGGGC